AUUGAACGCUGGCGGCAGGCCUAACACAUGCAAGUCGAGCGGAUGAAGGGAGCUUGCUCCUGGAUCCAGCGGCGGACGGGUGAGUAAUGCCUAGGAAUCUGCCUGGUAGUGGGGGAUAACGUCCGGAAACGGGCGCUAAUACCGCAUACGUCCUGAGGGAGAAAGUGGGGGAUCUUCGGACCUCACGCUAUCAGAUGAGCCUAGGUCGGAUUAGCUAGUUGGUGGGGUAAAGGCCUACCAAGGCGACGAUCCGUAACUGGUCUGAGAGGAUGAUCAGUCACACUGGAACUGAGACACGGUCCAGACUCCUACGGGAGGCAGCAGUGGGGAAUAUUGGACAAUGGGCGAAAGCCUGAUCCAGCCAUGCCGCGUGUGUGAAGAAGGUCUUCGGAUUGUAAAGCACUUUAAGUUGGGAGGAAGGGCAGUAAGUUAAUACCUUGCUGUUUUGACGUUACCAACAGAAUAAGCACCGGCUAACUACGUG
rnacentral:rRNA from 1 species